rnacentral:rRNA from 2 species
GGAUCAGCAGGUUGGUCUUGCCACUGGUAUGUACUAGCUUGCUGAUUCCUCCUUCUUGUAGAACCGUAAUGCCAUUAAUUUGGUGUUGCGGGGAAACAGGACUGUUACUUUGAAAAAAUUAGAGUGUUUAAAGCAGGCUAGCGCCUGAAUACAUUAGCAUGGAAUAAUGAAAUAGGACGUUCGAACCUAUUUUGUUGGUUUCUAGGAUUGACGUAAUGAUUAAUAGGGAUAGUUGGGGGCAUUAGUAUUCAAUUGUCAGAGGUGAAAUUCUUGGAUUUAUUGAAGACUGACUACUGCGAAAGCAUUUGCCAAGGAUGUUUUCAUUAAUCAAGAACGAAAGUUAGGGGAUCGAAGACGAUCAGAUACCGUCGUAGUCUUAACCAUAAACUAUGCCGACUAGGGAUCGGAUGAUGUUAAUUUUUUAAUGACUCAUUCGGCGCCUUACGGGAAACCAAAGUGUUUGGGUUCCGGGGGGAGUAUGGUCGCAAGGCUGAAACUUAAAGGAAUUGACGGAAGGGCACCACCAGGGGUGGAGCCUGCGGCUUAAUUUGACUCAACACGGGGAAACUCACCAGGUCCAGACAUAGUAAGGAUUGACAGAUUGAGAGC